AUAAGCAAAAUAAGAGGGAAUAUUAAGAUGACAUCUACUAUGGUUCUAUUCCUCCUUCUUCUUCUUGUGUUUCCGCAUAUGGAUAAAGCCCUAGGCGCACACGAGGAAUCCCAGAAACAAGGU
rnacentral:sRNA from 1 species